AGGAAUCUGCCUGGUGGUGGGGGACAACGUUUCGAAAGGAACGCUAAUACCGCAUACGUGCUACGGGAGAAAGCAGGGGACCUUCGGGCCUUGCGCUAUCAGAUGAGCCUAGCUCGGAUUAGCUAGUUGGUGGGGUAAUGGCUCACCAAGGCGACGAUCCGUAACUGGUCUGAGAGGAUGAUCAGUCACACUGGAACUGAGACACGGUCCAGACUCCUACGGGAGGCAGCAGUGGGGAAUAUUGGACAAUGGGCGAAAGCCUGAUCCAGCCAUGCCGCGUGUGUGAAGAAGGUCUUCGGAUUGUAAAGCACUUUAAGUUGGGAGGAAGGGCAGUAAGCUAAUACCUUGCUGUUUUUGACGUUACCGACAGAAUAAGCACCGGCUAAGUCUGUGCCAGCAGCCGCGGUAAUACAGAGGGUGCAAGCGUUAAUCGGAAUUACUGGSCGUAAAGCGCGCGUASGUGGUUUGUUAAKWUGGAUGWGAAAGCCCCGGKCUCAAC
rnacentral:rRNA from 1 species